NAACGCCAAAGGUUUCACAUUAAUUCUAAACAAACCGCUAAGUCUGAUAAAAUCCAAAAGGACACGAGAACCCCUAUGUGAACAGCUACACUCAGCUGCUGCUCUCACUUGGAUCUCUGCCUCAUCUUUCGGCGCUUCCUCUUCAACCUCCUCAUCCUCUUCUUCUUCCACUGCAAUCACACGGCACAAAUGAUCUCAGCUUCAUAAUUCAAGGAUCGGAAACUAAGGCAUUGUUUGGCAGAGCUCAUCUCUUAUCAGAAGCACUUUUCGGAAAAGCUAAAAAUUGAGGAUGGAGAAAUGUAAACAGCUAGGAUGUACCUGGCUCUCAUGGCGGCGAAG
rnacentral:lncRNA from 1 species